rnacentral:lncRNA from 1 species
UGAGAUUGAUGUAAUACCUUAUUCGAAUCUUUAUAUUAUACCCUUGACUCGACCUUCCAGCCUAAUUACCGUCCUACCUUCUAAAGAAGUAAGCUCCAAUACAAAGUGAAUUGCUGAAACCAUAAGUGGCGAGGAUCAGGACCCUAUUGAAGAAUCCAACCCUCUUAUCACCCGAGAGUAUUCUAAAACACUCUUUCACCUGAUCGGUCUGUCACAAAGCUUAACGCCCUUACAUUACCUCUUAUUAGGAAAGAUAUUACAUUACCUCUUAUUAGGAA